UGAGAUCUGAAAAGUCCUGACGAUUGAAAUAAAAACAUCAAAGCUGCAAGCACUAGUCUAAGCACAGGUGAGGACAGGUGAGGACAGGAGAGGACAAGUGAGGACGGGUGAGGACAGGAGAGGACAAGUGAGGACAAGUGAAGAUGGGUGAGGACGGGUGAGGACAGGUGAGGACAGGAGAGGACAAGUGAGGACGGGUGAGGACGGGUGAGGACAGGAGAGGACAAGUGAGGACGGGUGAGGACAGGUGAGGACAGGAGAGGACAAGUGAGGACGGGUGAGGACAGGAGAGGACAGGUGAGGACAGGAGAGGACAGGAGAGGACAAGUGAGGACGGGUGAGGACAGGAGAGGACAAGAGAGGACAAGUGAGGACGGGUGAGGACAGGAGAGGACAGGUGAGGACAAGUGAGGACGGGUGAGGACAGGUGAGGACAGGAGAGGACAAGUGAGGACAAGUGAGGACGGGUGAGGACAGGUGAGGACAGGAGAGGACAAGUGAGGACAAGUGAGGACGGGUGAGGACAGGUGAGGACAGGAGAGGACAAGUGAGGACGGGUGAGGACAGGAGAGGACAAGUGAGGACAAGUGAGGACGGGUGAGGACAGGAGAGGACAGGUGAGGACAGGUGAGGACAAGUGAAGACGGGUGAGGACGGGUGAGGACAGGUGAGGAACAGAGGAGAGAUGGUUCACAUUAAAAUCUGUUUCAAACUGUCUGAUGAUUCCA